rnacentral:lncRNA from 1 species
GGCCUGGUCCCUUUCUGCUAUCAUGCACAGGGGCUGAGGAGGGCUCUGGGGGAUUGUCCCAUCCCCACUGGGCAGAGGUGGAUGCGUAUAAACAUCCAGUAGUUUGGAGGCCUUAUAAUUUUAGCUCAGAACCUUUGAUAACUUAACUUAUUUGAAGCACUAAUACAUAAAAUAUGAACAACGCAAUCACAAAAUGGGGCCCUUCCAGAGGCGACCUCAGUUCUCAUGCUAUGUAUACAUUGAGCACACACCCAGGAUGCUAUCAGAUCAGAUCUGUAGCCAUGAUUCAUUUGAACUAUUGUGGUGACAUAUUCUUGGUCUGAAAGCCUUCCUCCCUCAGCCACGCUGUGACUACUCUGGUGUGGUAUUUACUUACCCAUUUGUUUCUCAGUAGGUUUCUUGGAAUCAGAAAAUGGGGCCAGAGCGUGGUGUGAGAAGGUGUACGGAGGGGGCACUCAGAAGACCCAUAUAUAUGUAGAAGGCAGUGUUGGGCAGAGGCAAAUCUCAUCCAACAGCGGAUGUCACUUGAGCCAUUGGUUGACACUCAGUAAAUCUAGAGCUCAGACAGGCCUGCAGAGUUUGUCUGACUCUGACACCAAACCAAGGGAAGGACACAGUCCUCGGUUUUUGAGCAUCAGCCAAUUCCUGGCAGUUGAGUGAGGCCGCUCCCAGUACCAGUGAGUGCAUAGCUGUGACCCAAUAGCAGUGAAUCCCAUCAGCCGGGGAAUGGAUAUAGGGGCCCUGAAGGAGCAAGGUGGGGCCACGUGGAUGGAACACCAUGGCAUUCACCACACCAUCACAAUGACUUUGGCUUUGUCGUGAGGUUUAUUUGGCCAAUCAUAUGUGGAAGGAAAGGACAGUGUUUUUAUUCCACGCUGCGGCCCUAAGAGGCAUGCUGAUCUAUGCCAGACCUUGCAGUGCCUCCUUUCCCCAGGUAUGCUUGCAGCUCUGGAGGGCAAGAAACAUGUUCUUCUUGUUUGUGGUCACCACUGCCCCCAACUUGAGGCUGGGUACAUGGAUGGUUAAUUAGUGCUGAUUGGACGGUCACCUGGGAUGGGGAUUUCCACCGAGGAAUGACCCUUGUCCCUGUUAUGUUUCCUUUGGCCACAAGGCGUCAGUAAAGACCUUGGCUUGGAGUUGCA